AUUGAACGCUGGCGGCAUGCCUUACACAUGCAAGUCGAACGGCAGCACGGGAGCAAUCCUGGUGGCGAGUGGCGAACGGGUGAGUAAUAUAUCGGAACGUGCCCAGUCGUGGGGAUAACGUAGCGAAAGCUACGCUAAUACCGCAUACGAUCUAUGGAUGAAAGCGGGGGAUCGCAAGACCUCGCGCGAUUGGAGCGGCCGAUAUCAGAUUAGGUAGUUGGUGAGGUAAAGGCUCACCAAGCCGACGAUCUGUAGCUGGUCUGAGAGGACGACCAGCCACACUGGGACUGAGACACGGCCCAGACUCCUACGGGAGGCAGCAGUGGGGAAUUUUGGACAAUGGGCGCAAGCCUGAUCCAGCAAUGCCGCGUGCAGGAUGAAGGCCUUCGAGUUGUAAACUGCUUUUGUACGGUAACGAAACGGUGAGCUCUAAUACAGUUUGCUAAUGACGGUACCGUAAGAAUAAG
rnacentral:rRNA from 1 species